ensembl:lncRNA
GUAAGUAUUUAUUUUGAGAUAUUAAGUCGUACUUUGAAGUACUUUUAUUAUUUAGAGAUGUUGAGUAUGUUGUUUUAUUUUGAGAUACUUUCAUUAUUUUGGGACAGUAAGUCAUUAUUUUGAGAUAGUAAGUCAUUAUUUUGGGACAGUAGGUAAUUAUUUUGAGAUAGUAAUUUGUUGUUUUUUAAGAUACUGACUCAUUAUUUUGAGAUAGUAAGUCAUGAGUUAUUAUUUUUAAAUAAUGACUUACCGUCUUAAAAUACUGAAAGCAGUUUUUUAAUAAGAAAAAUGUGCUGGAUUUUAUUUUAUUUUAUUUUAUUUUAGGUAGCGGAACUGGGCUUUCGUAGUACUGAAUAUUACGAAGUACAUUGCAUAUAUUACACAGCAUAUUAGUGUGUGUAAAGGGCGCUGGAAGAGCUCAGUCCGGAUCCGGAUCUGUACUGAACUCCUCCCCGCGGUUUAGCGGCGCCCCAGCUCAGCCAACACUUCUGAGUCUGCGCAGAGAGAGGGAGCCUGACUGCGCAUGCUCAGCAGCAAGAUGGUGGCCACCAGGAGAGGAGCACGCGUGGUGUCUCCGGAGAGAAAAGCGGAGGAAGCGGCUCCGGAGCCCACGCCUACGACCAGAAGAACCAGAAGCAGGACAGUGAUCGUAACGAACCAGACCCAGAGCGAACACACCAGUGACUCCCAGCAGGAUGAUUCAGAGGUACAAAACCCCACUCCCGCUAAACCAGCGCCAUCGACCGCAACUAAAAGAGAUACGAGAAGAUCCAAGCUUCAACCAGCAGCAGCAAACCAACCGGACUCCACCCACGAAGCAGAUGUUUCAGAUUCCGAAUCCUGCUGUUCGGUGGCUUCAGAUGUUCUGGUGCAGUCGACCACCAGGGGCAGAAGAAAAGCGGCAGCAGCAGCAGGAAAAGCGAGAACUACAGUUACGACUACAGAACCGGAAGCGUCUGAAGGUGAGUCUUGUACUUCGGCGACUUCCAGCAAGCCGCGGAGAUCCGUCAGGAGCCAGAAGAAAUCUGCAGUUCCAUCAGUUCCAGGAGAAUCAGCCGUGUCCGCUGCCUCAAAGGACAGUGAUCAUUCCGAUGCAGAGUCCUGCAGCUCUGUCGCAUCUUUGUCUAAAGUUUGGGAAGCUCGGAUGACCACCAGGAGCCGGAGGAAGACCAGAGGUGCUGCUGAAGAUGCUGAUCCUUCCGAGGCCGAUUCGUGUUCAUCUUCUGCAGUUGGAAGUCCUCAAGGGUCCACCGUCCGCAGGACGACGCGUAGCCGUCGAACGAAGCCCACUGAGGCGAUCCCAAUACAUUUGGAGGAGAGUGAACCUAAUGAUGCUUCAUCUUCUGCAUCUGGACCCAAUCGAUCAACAAGAACUAAGACAAGAGGACGAAGAGGAGACAAAUCCAAUGAGCAGGCCUACGAAUCUGAUGGAUGCCAGUCUGGUCCUAGUCUAAGUCCCAGAGGAAAAGUUGGCAUUUUUGUACUUGAUUCUGAUUCAGAAUCGCCAUCAACCACCAGCGCUUUACUCGAUAGUCCUCGUUCUCUUCGGGUCCGCCUCACUCCCUGCAGCAGCAGAACUGGUUCAGCCAGCAGUAACCGUGCUGCACCUGCUUCCAGGACUAGGAGCAGCGUCCGAGUCGUUCACGAUGUGUCUAAUACGACUUCCAAAGCCUCCAAGGAAGAAAAAAUGCAAGAGGAAAGCAUGGAGAUCAGUAAGGACAUCUCCAAAGAGACCCCAAUGGAUACGACAAGCCUCCAAGAUAAGGAAGAGGAGGAACAGGGCGUUGAGGCGAUGGAGGAGGAGGAGGAGGAGGAGGAGGAAGAUCAGGAAGACGAGGUAGAGGAGACCAAUAGGACAGUCAUUAGAGCAGAUGGACUGGAUCGUUCCAUUUCAGACGGCGUUACCGGCGAUCUUACUCUGACUCUUGACGAUGAUGAGGAAUUGACGGAUGCUAAGAGCCGCCUAGUUCGAGGCGUAACCGUAUCUGAAGCUGAUGCUGAAGAUCUUGAGAUUGUAGAGAAGAAUGAUGGUACUCAGGAAGAAUCUGAGAUGUCAAAGAUGGAUGUAGACAUUAAAAAUAUGGAAAAAUCUGUGCAAGAGGUUCAAAGCAUCGAUGAGACAGAAGAAGCGAAGCCUGAAAAGGGGGUGACUGUGACGGAAGAGCCUCAACGAAACCUGGUAGAUCCAGUUGAUCCAGUAGAAUCCUCCAAAUCUUCAGAAAAGAGUGUCAAAGUGGUUGAAGAAUCGGAAGAAAAAAGCUUUGUGGUGGAAGUGGAGGAUGAGAAAGAAGAGGAGGAAAAAGAAGACAAUUGCAGGAUAUUAGACAAGAUAGAAGAAUCUGGUCAAUCAGAGCAGGUUGAGAAGGGCGUAACAAUCAUUAGUGAAGAAGAUAAAGAAGCUUCUGAAGUAUCAGAAGUUGUAGAUGUACCUAAAACGAGUAUAUCAGUGACCUACGAUACCUCAGCAGAUAAGGAGGUUGAGAAAGAUGAAGAAAAAGAUGAUGAAGACGAGGCUGAGAACAAAGAGGAACCAGAACCAUCAUCAAGCUCUCAAAGCUUGGUGCAGAAGAUGAUGAGCACUGAGCAGACCAAACCCAAAAAAGGAGUGGUGAGUUUGCUCGACAGCAGUGAUGAUGAUGAGGAAGAGAACAGUGAUGAAGAUGAUGAUGGACUCUCAGAUGAAGGUAUUAAAGACGACACUGGGAAAGAUCAUAAUAAUGAUGAAGAGGAGGAUGAUGAAGCCAUGUGUGUGGAUGAGAGCCAACCAGGACCAUCAAGAGAGUCAGAUUCAGCUAAUAAUAAUAAUAUUAAUAAUAAUAAUGGGCUGUUUGUUAUUGAUGCUCGUCCCGGGUUUCUGCCCACUGAGAAAUAUUAUAUUGAUAGCGCCCGUGAUGAAGAGGACGAGCAGGUUAAAGAAUCUAAAGCUGCUGAAGAUGAAGAUGACUUUGUUGAUGAGGAGGGAGAUGAUGAUGACGACGAUGAAGACUCCAAUGUGCUCUUCACCACUCGGAGACCCGCACUGUAAGUAUGAUUUUCACUAAAAAAAUAAAGAUGCACCUAAUGAUGUAUGAUUAUUAUUG